AAAAGAUGUCCGUUAAUAUACAUAUUAAGAUAUAAUUUGUGUCAUAAAGAAAAUUAUUUUUUUUUACCAAGGAGAAGAAAGGCAAUCAUAUGGUACCUCUUCACCACGUCCUAUUAAUUCGUGAUUUUUAUCUAAUACCCCCCAUGGAGCUAUACCUAUGCUUACUACUCGACCCUGUCGUUGUGAUCGUUCUAAUAGCAAAGCAUCGCCAACUUGACGUGUAACUCCUAAAACAUAAAUGUUAAUUAAAAAAAGAAAAAAAAAAAAAAUUAUGAAUACGAUAUUAUAAAGAAGAAAAAAUGAUUACGAUGAUACAAUUGGAUGUGGUCCACCUUGAAAUUCAAUAGUACCAUAUGCAUCGGUUGGAUAAGGAUUUGUAUUUUUUCCUGGAGACCAUUGCUCACGUUCUUUUUCUAUGGAACCACUGUUGGCAUAACUUGGAACAUCUGCUCCAGUCCCACAAUGGAUUUUCUCAACUGGAUAACACGAUCAAAAGUUAAUUAUAACGCAUGAGAAAUAAGCUAUGAACAUAUGUGUGUGUAUACACAUAUGCAAUAAAUGUCAGUCACUAAACAUAAAGCAAAAUAAAAAGUAAAAGAAAAAACGAAUGAAUUUCACGAAUGAAUUAUUAUAUUCAUUACAAAUAUUAAUAUAAUAAAUAAAAUAUAUUGAGAAUGAAUUUUAUGAUCAUAAGAAAGCAGCAUACGAAAUGACGAUUAUAGCAGAAUCCACAAUGAAACCUCACCUGGAAGAAGUGAUCACAUCGUAUUCUGCAUUCUUAUCUCCCUGUACUUCUGUGAACCUAUAAACGGAAUGAAAUCAGGAAAAAUAAAUCAAAUGGAAAUGAAUAUACAAAAACACAACAUUGAACGUAUAAAUAAUUGAAAAAAAAUCAUAAGUUAAAUAUAUCACAACACAAUAUAAUAUAAAUUAAAUCUGUUUUUUUUUCUCUCUUCUUCCAUAAAAUAAAUAUGAUAUAUAAAACAAAUGAA